GCCCUCUUCAACGCUGCGUUUCCAUGCUACAAACGGAGAAUGAAAAGAGCCUUCGGGCUCUUUUCAAUCUCGAUUUCUUUUUCGCAUGUGGGAAAUUCGGAGAAAGCUUCAAAGCAGGAGGUGGAUACGUUCCUCUCUUGUGCUCGUUUUCCAUGCCUGGAGCGCCCUUGUGGCCUCCCGACGUGUGUCUAUCGAGUCUGCCUGUGAUGGCCUGGCGUCACCCCGACGUCUGCAACAGACAUCAGAAAUCUCAGGCCCGGGAGAACCUGCGUGUAUACUUCGGGAAGACGUGGGUUUAUCUCGGUGUCCUAUGGGAAGUCGUUGCGAAGCUUGUUGCGCAAACUUGAGUGCGAUAUGCAGCGUUCGUUUUGCUUCGGCGAAACGAAUCACACAAUUCCGAUCAUUCUGUUGAGGGC
rfam:Trichoderma gamsii strain T6085 Scaffolds0068.1, whole genome shotgun sequence.